AGCCAGGAGUGCCCGCUGGGCUCAUAACCCGGAGAUCAAAGGUUCAAAUCCUUUCCUCGCUA
rnacentral:tRNA from 1 species